rnacentral:tRNA from 1 species
AGGGGUGUAGCUCAAUUGGCAGAGCAGUGCUCUCCAAAAGCAAAGGUUGGGGGUUCGAGUCCCUCCACCCCUGCCA